UACGGAGGGGGCGAGCGUUAUUCGGAAUUAUUGGGCGUAAAGGGUGCGUAGGCGGCGCGGUAAGUCGGGUGUGAAAUCUCGGAGCUUAACUCCGAAACUGCAUUCGAUACUGCCGUGCUUGAGGACUGGAGAGGAGACUGGAAUUUACGGUGUAGCGGUGAAAUGCGUAGAUAUCGUAAGGAAGACCAGUGGCGAAGGCGGGUCUCUGGACAGUUCCUGACGCUGAGGCACGAAGGUCAGGGGAGCAAACGGG
rnacentral:rRNA from 1 species